GGCUGGUAUGAGUACAGUGAUGUUUACAACUAAUUGAUCACAACCAGUUACAGAUUUCUUUGUUCCUUCUCUUCUCUCACUUCUUCACUUGACUAGUGUUAA
rnacentral:Y_RNA from 1 species